UACGUAGGGUGCAAGCGUUGUCCGGAAUUAUUGGGCGUAAAGAGCUCGUAGGCGGUUUGUCGCGUCUUCUGUGAAAACUCGGGGCUUAACCCCGGGCCUGCAGUGGGUACGGGCAGACUAGAGUGCGGUAGGGGAGACUGGAAUUCCUGGUGUAGCGGUGAAAUGCGCAGAUAUCAGGAGGAACACCGGUGGCGAAGGCGGGUCGCUGGGCCGUAACUGACGCUGAGGAGCGAAAGCGUGGGGAGCGAACAGG
rnacentral:rRNA from 1 species